GUUUCUCACUCCUGUUCAGAGAAAAUAGUCUCCUCUAUUUUGUGAUCCAGAUCCCCCCUGCCUCUUCAGCCUUCCACAGCCCCCUAGAGGCCUCUGGGCAGCUGUCCAGCCCGUUGUUCUGGGAUCUCAGAAAGCACUCCAGGCAUUGAGGAAAUUGCCCUGUGAGAGGGGCCUGAGAUUAAAAAUGUGCUUGUUCUUAGCAGAAUCUGUACCAAACUGUUGCUUCAAGUUGCUUUCUCAAGGGGAAACUGCUGUAUAUUUUUGCUGCUUUAAAGGGAUUAAAGUAGGGUCAGGCUGGAGUCAGGUUUGAAUCAUGACUUCCUAUAAAAAGAAGGCCAGGGCCGGGCACGGUGGCUCAUGCCUGUAAUCCCAGCACUUUGGGAGGCCUAGGCGGGGCGGAUCACCUGAGGUCAGGACACAACAUGGAGAAACCCCGUCUCUACUAAAAAUACAAAAUCAGCCGGGCAUGGUGGUGCAUGCCUGUAAUCCCAGCUACUUGGGAGGGUGAGGCAGGAGAAUCGCUUGAACCCGGGAGGUGGAGGUUGCGGUGAGCCGAG
rnacentral:lncRNA from 10 species